GGGAAGGGAGGAAGAGAAUGGAGGAGGAAGGGAAGGAUUUGCGACAGGUGUUAGGCAUCCUGUGUUAUCCAGGUGUUCCGUUCUCCCAGGUUAAAGGGGAGGACUUCAGCAAGGCUAGGGAACCGAGGCUUGCAGAGAGGGGUUAUGGGAUAUUCCGAGGUAGUCCUCGUUCGUGCCAGCCUAGAACCCUGAACUUUAAUUCUCUUUAGAGUUGAGGAAUGGGAGGAAUUCUAGAAUGUUCUGGCUCUGGCCUCGCCAGUGCUGGGCAGCUCGCACCCUACAUGCUGACAUCAGAUGGCGUCCACAGCAAUGCCUUCCUCCCGCAGACUACACUGACUCUUUGCUGCCGGCUCCUGAGUACGGAGAAGACGGGUCCUGUUACUCCUCCCAGGCGGAGAACUCUGAUUUUCUCGCUAAGUCUUCCUUUGCUUUUCCAUUUUCAUUUCAUGCACAGUGACAAACGAGCUGUAAAGUCUCGUGAAGCCCCCAGACUAUCCUUGAAUUUGAUAGGUAGCUGACCAACUGGCCUUGAGUUCCUGACAUUGCCUCCACGCUCCGCUUCGGGAUUACAGAGAGGGUCUUGCAUUAAAGACCAGGCUCACCUAAACUUUCCGACCUCUUGCCUCUGUUCACUGAGUGCUGGAAUUAUAGGCAUAAUCGCCACCCCUAAUUAGAGAGGACCUUGAAGGCUCCAGCCCCUCCCCCAAGAAGACUGACUUAACCACCUAAGGGAACAGUUAGGACCGGCCUGUGUUCUGAACUGGAGAAGACCGGAAGCUGUCCCAGGCUCCAGGUGCGGAGGCCCAAAGGCAUGCAGCUGAAGUGAACCUUCCGGGGUCAGAAUGGAAGGGUCCGGAGAGGAUGUGGGGACUGGUGAACAGGCAGGCAGGGUGCGCGCGACUGUAGAGGCCGUGUAGUGCCAAGUUAAAGACCUAGGAUUUGCCCAGAAGACUCCAGAGACACCCCCACCCCCGUAAAGUCUCUGAGCCAUAGCAGGAUAUGAUGCUAUGACGCAAGGUAGGGGGUGAGGGGAGAAGAUGGGCCAGGAGGCAAAUCGUGUUGCCUUCCCUCUCCAACCCUCCCGACUUCUAUUUUAACUGGUGACACAUCAGCACGGAUGUCACCUCCCCCGGUGCCCUCUGACACACUAGCCAGUUUUAUUUUCGUGGCUCUUAACACCCUCAGCAACGAUCAUUUAUACACAUGCUUACUUCCUUUGCUCCCGUGUCCCACGGAACAUAAACAAAAUAGGGUAGGUGGGGGAUCAUUAUCUUGUUUUGUUCGCUGUUGCUUCUCCGGCACCUGUGACAAGCUAAUGGCAGAUGCUGUGAGUGUAUUUGUGGAAUGAAUACAUAGAUUGAUAACUGGAAUGAUGGCAUCACUAUUUCUGUCCCAGGGCCCCAGGCCCCAUGGUGAUGCUUGACUCAUGCUCCUCUGUGGGAUCUGGCAAUCUCUUCGCUUGGAUGUGUGGUUUCUCUUUCCCUCCCAGCCCCUGCACACGCAGCCUCUACCCUCCCCAACAACUGUAAGUGCUUUGGGCAUGGUCUUCCCAUGGGGUCUUGGAGCCUUGGUCAUGACAAUUCCCUCUGAUCCAUUCUCUAUGAUGAAUGAAUGCUGGUGAACAGGACUGACUACAGGGGUGAGGCUGGGGAUUGGAGGUCGGCAGGGCAGCUGAGGAUGAUGUGGGUCUUCAUUGACUGCAAAAGACAGAAAAAACGGGGACAAGUGGAUGCUGAUGAGGGAACCAACUGAGGCAGUGUGCCUGUUCUAAUGGGAGCUCACCAAAUCCAGCUGGACCAGGUCGGAAUGAGCAUGUGAUCAAACCGGACUCUGAUUGUGG